rnacentral:rRNA from 1 species
GACGUAGGGCGCGAGCGUUGUCCGGAUUUAUUGGGCGUAAAGAGCGUGUAGGCGGUUCGGUAAGUCUGUCGUGAAAUCCUGAGGCUCAACCUUGGACGUGCGAUGGAUACUGCCGGGCUAGAGGAUGGUAGAGGCGAGUGGAAUUCCCGGUGUAGCGGUGAAAUGCGCAGAUAUCGGGAGGAACACCAGUAGCGAAGGCGGCUCGCUGGGCCAUUCCUGACGCUGAGACGCGAAAGCUAGGGGAGCGAACAGG